UCAAUGAGCUGCUCAAUGCUGAGUAAAAUUAAACGUUGUGAGUCAGAUGUUUCUUCUGUUUUGGAGACGUCGAUGUUGGGGUAUUUCUUGAUGAGGAAAUUGAUGAUCUGGUGAGCAAUAGUUGGGUCAAAUAAUGGAGGAAUGAAUACGAAUGCCUGCUUUACAUCCAACAAGCAGUUGUUGGCUAUUAUCGUUUGUAAUCCAUCUUCGACUAAGUCUUUCAAGUUGUCAACGGUCUGGUUUGCCAUUUCCAGCAGGAAAGAAUCAAUCUUCCUUUUCUUUUUGGGAUUGCCAUGUACCUCACAUUCAGGAUCUUCCUCAGCUUUCUUUUUGGAAGCCAUGUUCUUCUUUCUUCCCAUGGUUUGUCUAUGGUUGAACCCUUUGUUCUGUUCAGAGAAGUAACAUUUGCAUAACCUUUGCUUGUGGAUAAAUAAAACGUGUUAAUAGCUUAUUAUCUGAUUUUUUAGAUCUAUUUCUUGUAUUUUGUUCUUUGUUUUCAACUUUUUUCAAUACCAAUUUUUGUAUUAAGUUGAUCAGUAUAUUAUCUGCAACUAACUUAAGAUUUAGAACUCAUUACUAGAUGUCGCCAGUGUAGUCAUUGUUGUUCCUACAUCGUGAAAUCGAGGCGGAAUGGGCGAAACAAAUUGUUGCUAAUUUAUACUUAAAAAGUUAUAUUCCUGUGAUUUGAAUUUCCAAAUUGAACUUCAUAUGUAAUGUAGGUUUACCUUGAGAUAAUUUCCUUAUUUUUAUCAUGCACCAACUUAUUUCUCCAAAUUCUUGAUGCAUAGCCUACUGUCAGUCAUUCCAACAAGUUGACUUAUUAGCGCUCAGUCACUUUCCAUCCAAUAGACCCAUCAUGCUGUUAAAAGCCAAAAAUUCAUGGUUGAAGCUCACAUAUAUUGGAAUACAAAUCUGCAGAGUUAAGGACUUUUCUGAAUCUUGCAAUUUUGGUGGUGUAAUCUGCAACAUAAUGUUUUUCCAUUGUGGCUUUUUCUACUUCUGUUUAGAAGGCAACCCAGCUGAGAGAUAGGUAGAGUUUUAUUUCUCAUAGAGUUUCAGUGACACGAAGAAGGUGAAGUGAAUAACCUAUUAACCUGGAAUGUGUAUGCACCUGUACCAGAUCUGUACAUGAAAAUAUAUAUAUCUGCAAACAAGAAUGUUAUGAAUUUCGUUUUGAGGUCAAUGGAUUUGGCGCUGGUUGCUGUUACUGGCCUUUUGCGACGUCUUGAUAUCAGUUUGGAAUAAUAGCUCUGGACUCUUGGAAAUCCUCACUCAUACUCAAGUCAACCUGCAGACAGGUCGGCCAGUUUGUCCAGACAGGAUCAUUCAUUCAUCAUUCAUAAGUAUUUUUCUGAAUGUUAAACACGAGCAGUAGAUUCAACAUGACUAACUGGCUAACUGCUAACUAAAUAAGUGGAUGAAUGAUAUCCACACCAGGUGGCGCUAGUGUCUUCAGGAACGCUUAGCGGCCAUUUUGUUCCAAGACGCAGCUGAAGUAGGUUGUUGGUUGUCACGCUCCUCACGAUGAAAAUUAAAAGGUGCUUUAGCACGUUGAAACUAAUUUGCCAAAUCAUUCAACUCAGACUUGGAAGUGCCUGUACAUUUCCGAAAUGGCGUGCCUCGUGUGUCUCGCUGCCUCUUCUUAGGCGUACGUCUCAUCUCAUGCAACAGAAAAAA